UACGGGGGGGGCAAGCGUUGUUCGGAAUUACUGGGCGUAAAGGGCUCGUAGGCGGCCAACUAAGUCGGAUGUGAAAUCCCCAGGCUUAACCUGGGAACUGCAUCCGAUACUGGAUGGCUUGAAUCCGGGAGAGGGAUGCAGAAUUCCAGGUGUAGCGGUGAAAUGCGUAGAUAUCGGGAGGAACACCAGUGGCGAAGGCGACUACCUGGCCUGUUCUUAACGCUGAGGCGCGAAAGCUAGGGGAGCAAACAGG
rnacentral:rRNA from 1 species